rnacentral:rRNA from 1 species
UACAGAGAUGGCAAGCGUUGUUCGGAAUCACUGGGCAUAAAGGGCACGUAGGCGGGUUGGUAAGUCAGGUGUGAAAUCCCUCGGCUCAACCGAGGAACUGCGCCUGAAACUGUCGAUCUUGAGGGCAGGAGGGGAGAGUGGAACUCUUGGUGGAGCGGUGAAAUGCGUAGAUACCAAGAGGAACGCCGGUGGCGAAAGCGACUCUCUGGUCUGCUACUGACGCUGAGGUGCGAAAGCUAGGGGAGCAAACAGG